UAAACUACCCUGGGAUCUGACCAUUAGGGGACCGACUUGAUCCUGGGCUUGGUGCUUUUGCUAGGAAGCAGCUAAGAAACACACCGCCAUUUCUUUCUAUUGAUUCUGCCCUCAGCAACACUGACUUUGGAACUGGGGAGUAUCUGCCUAUCUACUGCCCAUCACCGAAGCUCAAGCAACAGGAUUGAUAGCAAGAUGGCAAAGAAUGUGCUGCAAGAACCACCGGGACAAUGUUCUAAGGAUGGAGGCGUCAGCAGCUCACUUACUCUUCACCGGGGGCUUCCUUGGAUCAUAGGUCACUGAUGAAGUGCUGCCCAGGGAUGAGCCUGAGGGGCCGCUACUAGUACUGGGCCUGUCGUAAUCCUGUUCCUCUUCCGUGUGAACGCUGCUGCUUUUAGUUGGUGUGAAGUAUACAGGUUUGAUUCUGAGGAAAGAGAAGAUGGUGAGCGAGGUGCUACAAACUGGAGCAAUGUCUAAUUUUAAAUCCCGAAGCAAGCAGAAUCCUUGAAGAUUAAAUCACACCGUAUCUGAACCAUCGAUUGGUCUUACAACAAAUAGUGAAGAAUCAUCAUCAUUGAUCAACACACCCCAUUCCCUCUUAUCUGGUAACACUCACGUGAUUGCACUCCUCAAUGCGAUACAACUGCUCUGGAGUGCAGCGUUCCAAAACAGGCUCAAGUACAGAAUAUGGGACACCGCCCACUUCGUAGAUGGCUAGGAGAAAAAAGCAGACAGAUCUUUCUUCAUUUUCAAGGCACAUUUUCCAAGUGGGAAACAGGCCCACAGCCUAUCGGACUUACAGUCAAUAUUAUUGCUGAGCACCCGGAUGCACUGCUCAUGGAGAGUCAUCAUCUUCGGAAGAUAGGCCGUCUUGGAGCCCGAGUACACCUGCAUCUUGGAAUUCAGCCGACGUCCUGUGAAACCAGCCUCAUCCUCUUCAGUCGGGGAGGAGAGGGCUGCAAGGCCAGGGGAAGACGAUUCCUCACUGCACAAAGAAAAUCUUCAUGAUCAAACAGCUAAGAUGCAAUGUGCUUGGAACCAAAGCCACAAUCACAUUCCUUUCCUUCUCCGGAAGCAUCAGAGAAAUUAUCAACUACCCAUCGAGCUAUUCAACUAUUUCUGUUGAAUCCAAAUGGGCAUCUAUUCUCAUUAUAUUUACAUAGCAGUCUUCCUCCUCUUCCACAGGAGGGAGGAGGCCUAGGCAAGUGAAUAAAAGACAAAGAAAAAUUCAGAACUUCUAUGUGAUUUUUUUUUCUGUAUCACCCAACCUAUCUUCAACCACAACAUUUAGAAACAGUAAAUGAAAAGAAGAUUCCGCUCCGACUUUACCUUUCCUCUUUGGUUGGGUGAAUGAGAUUGUGUCAAGU